rnacentral:rRNA from 1 species
AGAGUUUGAUCAUGGCUCAGAUUGAACGCUGGCGGUAGGCUUAACACAUGCAAGUCGUGCGAGAAAGUAUCUUCGGAUAUGAGUAGAGCGGCGGACGGGUGAGUAACGCGUAGGAAUCUACCUAGUAGAAGGGGAUAGCCCGGGGAAACUCGGAUUAAUACCGUAUACCUCCUUCGGGAGAAAGAAGGCCUCUCUUUGAAGCUUUCGCUAUUAGAUGAGCCUGCGUAAGAUUAGCUUGUUGGUGAGGUAAAGGCUCACCAAGGCGACGAUCUUUAGCGGGUCUGAGAGGACGAUCCGCCACAUUGGGACUGAGACACGGCCCAGACUCCUACGGGAGGCAGCAGUGGGGAAUAUUGGACAAUGGGCGCAAGCCUGAUCCAGCCAUACCGCGUGUGUGAAGAAGGCCCUAGGGUUGUAAAGCACUUUAAGUUGGGAAGAAAAGUUAUUGGUUAAUACCCAAUAACCGUGACAUUACCAUCAGAAUAAGGACCGGCUAAUUCCGUGCCAGCAGCCGCGGUAAUACGGAAGGUCCAAGCGUUAAUCGGAAUUACUGGGCGUAAAGCGCGCGUAGGUGGUUUAUUAAGUUGGAUGUGAAAUCCCCGGGCUCAACCUGGGAACUGCAUCCAAAACUGAUUCACUAGAGUACGAUAGAGGGAGGUAGAAUUCACAGUGUAGCGGUGGAAUGCGUAGAUAUUGUGAAGAAUACCAAUGGCGAAGGCAGCCUCCUGGAUCUGUACUGACACUGAGGUGCGAAAGCGUGGGUAGCGAACAGGAUUAGAUACCCUGGUAGUCCACGCCGUAAACGAUGUCAACUAGCUGUUGGAAAACUAUGUUUUUCAGUGGCGCAGCUAACGUAGUAAGUUGACCGCCUGGGGAGUACGGCCGCAAGGCUAAAACUCAAAUGAAUUGACGGGGACCCGCACAAGCGGUGGAGCAUGUGGUUUAAUUCGAUGCAACGCGAAAAACCUUACCUAUACUUGACAUACUUGGAAUGCUUUGUAAUGAAGCAGUGCCUUCGGGAGCCAAGAUACAGGUGCUGCAUGGCUGUCGUCAGCUCGUGUCGUGAGAUGUUCCGUUAAGUCGGAUAACGAGCGCAACCCUUACCCUUAUUUGCCAGCGAUUCGGUCGGGAACUAUAAGGGGACUGCCGGUGAUAAACCGGAGGAAGGUGAGGACGACGUCAAGUCAUCAUGGCCCUUACGUAUAGGGCUACACACGUGCUACAAUGGAGAAUACAGACGGACGCUAAGCCGCGAGGUGGUGCUAAUCCUAGAAAAUUCUUCGUAGUCCGGAUUGGAGUCUGCAACUCGACUCCAUGAAGUCGGAAUCGCUAGUAAUCGCGAAUCAGCAUGUCGCGGUGAAUACGUUCUCGGGUCUUGUACACACCGCCCGUCAUACCAUGGAAGUGGAUUGCACCAGAAGUAGAUAGUCUAACCUUCGGGAGGGCGUUUACCACGGUGUGCUUCAUGACUGGGGUAAAGUCAUAACAAGGUAGCCGUA